rnacentral:rRNA from 1 species
AUGAAGUCCUCUGCUCAGUUGUCACCCGUGCCAUGCGUUUGCUUAGUUUUCAAAUUGAAUCCUUUUUUAAUCUGUUUGUGGAACCGUCUGCUCGAUAUAUGGUAUAAUUUUAUUUGUCAUGUACAUCUACCGCUGCUGCCCUUGCCUACAAGUACUGUAUCCAAACUUGAUCAGUGCUGGUAUCUUCCCCUUACUGGAUGUGGGAAAGGAUAUAUAAUGACUGAUAUUAUGCUAUUAAAGGAUUGUAGGCAUGUUUCAAAUUAUUACUGGACCUGUGGCAUGGUUAUGUGGUUAUAUUUGGUCACUUUGUUCAUCAGUUCCAAUCCUUUAAAAAGGUUACCACUUUGUUUCAAAUUAUUCAAGGAGGCUACCAGGCAAGACAAAAAAUUAGACAUUGGGUGUUGCAAAAAAGAUUUGAAAAUAGAUCUUUUGCUCCGUCUUACUGCAGCGGCUGGAGCUAUCUUCGCCUGCGUUACUUACUGGGCCUUGGUGUUGGUGUAG